UAAAUGUCAAAAAUGAGAAGCCGUCCCAGGUGGCUGAUGUCCCACCACAGCAGACACCUCCGACACCUCCUGAGACCCUACUCUUCCAGUUUAAAGAUGAGAGCUAUACCCCAGGGCUCAGAUUGUCACCCGCCCAGAUUGUCACUGAUGCCCACACAUGGGGAACUUGGGUCCAGUUUCAUUCAUGUCCCUUCUCCUUUGCUGUCUCCCUGUUCUGCAUGGUGUUUUCCCAGUCUGCGAUGUGCACUGUGAAAGAAAGGUUUGACCAGACACACAGGGUGUGGCUCCUGAUGUCUCUUACAUACAGCACAGCUCAGAGUGCAGUAUGGGGACAGUGUGGACAGGGGUGUGCUCUGCCGUUCUGCUGGUUCUCAUGCUCAGUGAGGGCUCCACCACCCUUUCCUCACCAAGUCAGGGGUGUGCCUCAUACGGAGCUUCUCGAAGUUCAAUAUUUUCUAGAGAUUCCCACAAGAGUCCACCAUUCAAAGAAAUUCUAGGGCGGGAUUAGCAGCCAGGCCAGGAUAAGGGUGUCCUCUGGAUGUCAGGGUGGAGGGUGUGAUGAGCUUCGGGUCUUCAGGUACCUCUUAUUUUCUUCAAGUACCUGCUGUUUCCUGUCUCCUUAAGCACUGGGCUUCCCCUUAAUACCACUCUCCCAUGCACACAGGCAUCUGGGGCUCUCUCUGUGUUCUAAUUCACAAUGAAAGCAUUUUAGACUUAAGGAUUACUUCUGGAAAAGAAUCAAAAAACUUCCUAAUAAAGUAAGUGCUGAACAGAGUCAAGCGUGUCCUAAAUCUUCUGGGUAAUUUUGUGCCACCAGCUGAAGUCUCAGCCUACAGAAAGUAAAUACGGGGCUCGUGAAUCUUGGCUGCCUGCCGGCCUUGACUCACCAAGCGAGCAAACAAAUUUACCAAUUGUGAUGCGGGAGCCCAUGGGUACCUACCUCGGUACAAAAUACACUUGGGGGAUUGUUUGAGGCACAAACAAACAGAAAAUGUGUGGGGCUUGUCCCUGCUCUUCCCCCCUCCCACUUUCUCCUUGGCUUUUCCUUCACCUGAAGGCAAGUCUGAGUCAGCUCAGCAGGCUGUUUGGUGGAUGGACUCAUUACAAUGAAAUGCACCCCUGUGGUCAUCACAGGCACUCUUUUAGCUGUUGUUUUCCCACAGAAAAACCUUUAAUGUUGGGAGUUGGCCAGGUGGGUGGCCCAUGCCUUUAACCCCACUACUUGGGAGACAGAAGCAGGAGGAUCUCUGUGAGUCCACCAGCCUGGCCUGCACAACAAGUCCCAGGGCAGCAGCCAGGACAAGGUGCAAAUCCCAGGAACCCUCUGUGUUUCUGCUUAACACAUGACAGAGCUGAAGAAACUCUGGAGUGACUUUUGCUCCCUUGAAGAACGGAUACCCUCCCCUAACAGUUGCACCAGAAUCUAGAACAUUCCCGUGGCGGCUUGAAAUGAAGCCACCUCCACUUCAGGUGGUUCUAAUCUUUUUUUUUUUUUAAGUUAUCACCAGGGUAUAAUAUUGUAAUUUUGAGUUCAUAGUUCAUGUGUAAAUUGAAAGUAGAAGCUGGACAGACAGAAUUGUAAGAGGCAGGAGAGAUUCCAUUAGUUUGUUCAACAAAUAUUGAUUGACCGGCAGCUGAAGUGCUUGGCCGUAACAGAAGUGCAGCUCCUCUCUAAUGGGCUGUUCCUCCUUGGGGAGGGGAGGGGGGGGGAGGGAAGGGAAAAGAGAAGAAUAAAAGUCUGGUGGAUGUACAGUGCGAGUGUGAAACACAGCAAGAGCACCUACAAGCCCGUACUGUGAAGAAGGCACAGAGAAGUAGCAUGGGCUGGAGAUGAGAGUGGCGAUUACAGAGGUCGGUCAGGAUGGAUAAAGCGGUGUCUACGGAGAAAAUAUAAGAACAAACAAUGCAGACCUGGUGUCCAUACAGGUAAGCUGAGGGACUCUUCCUGUGCUCUCAGAUAUGGUGGCCCGUGUAUGACUACCCACACAGAGUCAGGACACCAGGUUAGUGAGCCAAGAGCCAGCUUACUUUUCAAGAGACCAGGGGUGGGUGGGUGCGUUGAGUGGGGACUUCUAAAAAGUUCCUCUUUCUCUCUAUCCUACUCAAAACCAAGGACUGCACAUCCCUUUAAGGCAGCAGAAGACUUGUGUGACGGCCUGUAACUGAACCAGUGGGAAGAGGAGGAAUUUUGAGAGAUGACAGAUACCAUGCAUUGAGGACGUAGAACCUGAAGCCUUCAGGACGGGCUGCGAUUGGUGAGUUCUCUAGUUUUUAAUCUGUUUUUGAGAAGGAGAGAGAUGAUAAGAUUGCAUCUCUGCGGCUGAAGGGGAACUAGAACCUGUGGUUAUUCUCAGUUCCCAGUCUUUAAAGUUGGGUGGGGAAUGAGCGCGCACACUGGCUCAUGAACAAAGCUCUGUGAAGAAAUCCCACAGACGAUGGAUGGGCUUCUCAGCAGUCUACGCUCCCUGCGGGUUGAGACUGGACAGCCGAUAUGCACUGUCGCUGACGUUGGGCACUGAAACCGGGACCCGCUCUGGGUGGUGAUGGGUGCUGGGAGGCAGCCGUUUGUGGUUCUUCGCCCGGGCACAGAAGUGUACUACUUCCUAAUCUCUGCCUUCGAAAGGCUUUGUGGGCUUCAAACUCUCCGGGUUUGAAGCAGAUAUGUUGUAUUUAAAACCCGGAAGACUGACAUAAAGGGUUUUCUCUGAAGAUUACAGGAAUGAGCUGACUUCCUGGUUCAGGGACCGCCCAGCUGGUAAAGGAAAUGCAGAUUCUGGCCAUGUGCUGAUGGCCACCAGGAAGACUGCUGUUCAGAGCGUGUAACAGACACUCAUUCAUGCUAGAAGAAAUCCCAGCUGCCCACUCUUUUGGGAAUGAGAGGUUCGAGCCACAAACUGCACAAUGGAAGCAUGACUUGGGAGUCUUACUGAAUUCUCCUCCAGUGGCCAGGAAGAACAGCCUUUGCUAAUUACCUAGAGGAGUUCACAGGCCUCCGGAGACACGGACACAUACACCAUGAGAGGCAUGACACGCACGUAAGCACAUCCUGUGAUCAGCAUCACCACCUUUUGGCCCACAGCAGUGUUCAGACCUGUCGGCACCUGAAACCUUCCCUCCAAGUGUUACUGGCUUCCUGAGCCAACUGCAAGAUCAGACUGAUUUUGGCAAAAGCGAAGCGUUUGGGGGAGGUUCCCCAUUCUUUCAUCUGACCUGUAGAGCCACUUCUUGGCAGCAUCUACCCCCUUCCCACAGCAGGGCCUCCCGACCGUGGCUGUCCCCUGGCAGGGUGUGCGCUCCCUUCAGGUGGCUGUCACCCUUUCUGGGCUCAGGCACCUCCACCAGCUGCUCCAGCUGUGUUUGCCCUGUGUAUACUGGGAAGGUUUUAUGGGCCUAUUACACCCUAGGCCAUCCUUGACCCUGGAUCUAAGACUGUUCUUUCAUUCCAAAUGACAACAGUGCCUAGGUUUUCCCUGACAAGAAACAAACCGAACCCUGGUUCAAACAACACAAAACUAUCUUCCAAGUCGACAGCAGGUGGACCAAUGAGAAGACGGCUGUGACAGCUGGAAGGAGCACUCGCUGUUCUCAUGAGCUCUCAGGCUGCUCACCUGUGAACAGCUGGACACUCGAGGUAAGUUUCCCACGCGCCGACAGGCACUACAAUGUCUGCACUUAGCUCUGCAGAAUGAACCCAUGAAUAGACGCCCUUCUCCUAGGGAUUUAAACCAUGUUUUAUAUUUAAAUCUUGCAAUGUUGAACAGCAUCCUUGUCUUAUUUCUAUUGCUGCCCUGACCAAAAGCAACACUGAGGAGAAGAGGUCUAAUAAGACUCAGAACUCCAGUUUACAGUCCAUUGUGGGGGAAGCCAAGACAGGAACCUGAGGCAUCAUGGACCCAUAACAAAUUCAAGCAUCAGUUUUUAUCUACAAAAUGUGACAGUAAUACACACACACACACACACACACACACACACACACACACACAGAGAGAGAGAGAGAGAGAGAGAGAAACAAGUGUGCAUGGAGAUGCUGAGGUGAGAGUAAGUCAGAACUGGAGUUGGGGAGUAUCUCAGUGGUACCAGGUGAGCAUGCAGGGAGCCUCGGGCUCCACCCCCACUGCUGCAAACUAGAAUUAAAGAAAAUAGCUGGACAGCAAACAGUGAAAAGGAUUCUCAGUAAAUGCCCCCUGUUUUAAAUUUAGCUAUUGGAGUUAACCUUUAGAUACUGCAUUUAUCUAAAGGUUAUAUAAAAGCACAUUCUUUGGUUUAGAUAAAGCUCAGUAAAAUUCCGGGAUGUUAGUCUCAUUCUAUUAACCAAGACUCCAGUCUAGUACUGGGCCUGCUCAGGUUGGGGAACACAGAAAUCAGUCAUGGAUCUCUCUUAGGGAGUUACCACCUCAGGGGAAGCUAGUUCUACAACUGAAUCAGAGCCACGUGGGACAUACUCAUUGGGAAAGUGGUUCCUGACCUGCUGUGGCUGCAGCAGAGAAGGCGGCAGAAGCCUCCAGACCUGGAUGAGGAACAGAGCUGAAACCGACAAGAACUGCAGUGAAGCCCCUGCACCAUCUCCUGGCCUUUGAAGGCUCCAGAGCCCAGCCUUCCUACUGCGCAGUUAGUGGCUCUCCUGAAGAAUAGACAGAGUUGCCAAGAGUUACAGUCGCCCCACGCAAGGUCAGAAAAGGAGAAAAAAAAGAAUACUUAUCGGUGACAUUGGGAGUGUGAAGGUUUGCCAAUCCCGCAGAAGAUUCACUCCUUAGCAAUACAGCUGACAUUCUAAAAACAUCUUUCCAUUUUACACUGCAUUUUCUCCAGUGACACUUUUGAUUUUAUCAGUAGCACAGGAUGUUACGUACUAGAGACAAACUGCCCACCACCAAGCCACAGUA
rnacentral:sRNA from 1 species